UGUCUUCAGGGCAGGGUGAAAUUCCCGACUGGCGGUUAAAGUCCGCGAGCGCAGCAGCGCCGAUCCGGUGUGAUUCCGGAACCAACAGUAUAGUCUGGAUGAAAGAAGAUG
rnacentral:ncRNA from 1 species